CGCAGCACCCGGCAGUGCUGGGAGCUUCGCGCUUCUGCGCGGCAGCUCCGGGGAGACCCAGUGCGCUCGGGGCGAAGCGCAAACCUGUUGGCUUCUUCUCCCGAGGGCACGCCUGGCGCGGGAGGGCGGGCGCACCUUUCAGUUUUCCUGGUUGUUCAGAGUUGUGGGGGCUCCGAGUGGGAAGCGGGGAGGACAGCCUGUUUCGUCUCCGGAUGGGAGAAUAAGGACGGCACGGAGAGUUCAGAAGGAACGUGGCAGGGCAGAAAGUACAAGGACUAACAGACACCAUGGCCAGUCUGUCCCUCAUCGAAAAGCCGAGCCGGAGAUGUUGCUGAAUGUGCACAGGGUCGGGUCGUAUCGCUGGUGCUGGAGGAGUCAGGAUUCCUGGACACGGUGGCCCCGCUCCAGAGUCCACGGUGCAGCCCAGCCCUACGCGGCCUGUAAAGUGAUAACGUCCAGAGGCCUUCCACCACAGCCCAGUCCAUUCCAGCCAAGAAAAGAAUCAAUGUUUCUGAUUCUCCUGUGUGAUCCCAGUCACAGCUUUAACCAGAGGUCCCUGUGCAGGUGGAAGGAGAAGACUGCUUUUGAUUCUUCCAGACAGAGGCUGUGGCUCCUUCCUGGUCCAUGUGCUUCCGUCCUUUGAAAGCUUGCUUUGAUGCCCUUGGACCAGAGCAGCCUAUAAAGAUAUGCUUGGACUUAAAGCACAAUUGCUUCUUCCUAGACAUGAGCUUUGGAGAAUUGAGUAACCUCGAGCUGGAAAGCAGUACACUUUGAAGCUUUAGAUCUUGUGUUAUUGUGAAGUCCAACUCUGGGAGCCAGUGUAACAUACUGAUUUCAGACCUGAGCACUGGGGUAAGACUGUGUGUGUCAAAAUCUUUAAUCCUUAGAUAAAUGACUUAAUCUCCCUUAGCCUCAGUUUCCUUAUCUGGAAAGUGAGGUUAAUAAAAUCUUUGCCUCAUAAAGAUUAGUUUCAGAAUUAAAUGGUAUUACAUGCUCAGCUAGAAAUUAUAGUAGGUACCCCCCAAAAUAUUUGCUACUAUUACAAGUUGAGUAUCCUUUAUCCAAAAUGCUUAGGAUCAGAAAUAUUUCAAGUUUCAGAUUUUUUAAAACUUUGGAAUACUUUCCUAUAUAUUAUAAGAUGUCUUAGAGACGGGUCCCAAGUCUCAACCUGAAAUUCAUUUAUGUUUCAUGUAGACCUUGAAGGUAUAGCUUGAAGGUAACAUCAUACAAUUAUAAAAUGUGUUUUGACUGUGACCUGUCACAUGAAAUCAAGUAUGGAAUUUUCCACUUGUGAUGUCAUGUCAGGGCUUAAAAAGUUUUGAAUUUUGGUGCAUAUCAGGCUUUGGAUAUUUGGACUAUGGAUGCUCAAUG
rnacentral:lncRNA from 1 species